rnacentral:rRNA from 1 species
GGGGGGGGGGGGGGGGGGGGGGGGGGGGGGGAGGGGGGGGGGCGGGGCGGUGGGGGCGGGCGCGGGGGGGGGGGGGGGGGCGGGCGGGGGGGGGAGACGUGGGAGUCUACUUGUUGGGGGGGGAGAAGGUAGGGAGACUUACGAUGAUACCGGCUACUAGCAAGGGUGGAAAGCAGGGGCAGUGUGGAGCUGGGGCGAUUGAAUCAGCCGAUGUCGGAUAGGCUAGUUGGCGAGGUACAGGCCCACGAAGGCGACGAUCCGUAGCUGGUCUGAGAGGAUGAUCAGCCACACUGGAACUGAGACACGGUCCAGACUCCUACGGUAGGCAGCAGUGGGGAAUAUUGGACAAUGGGCGCAAGCCUGAUCCAGCCAUACCGCGUGGGUGAAGAAGGCCUUCGGGUUUUAAAGCCCUUUUGUUGGGAAAGAAAAGCAGCAGGUGAAUACCCCGCUGUUCUGACGGUACCCAAAGAAUAAGCACCGGCUAACUUCGUG